CUCCAGUAGCUCCGUGUGUGUUCUGGAUUGAUUCUGUCCGCUCCCUCCCCCCGGAAAAUACCAAGCUGAAGAGAACGUGUUUAGCUCACCAUGAUGACGUGAGGAAGAUUGCAGGCCCUACUUCCUUACGCAGAAGAGAGAAGCAGCAAGCGCCAAUGUAAGGGAAGAGAAGGGUUUGCAGUCACCCUUCACCAAACAGGAGGCCGUUUGGGCAAACUCGCAAGCUAUGAGUCUCCGAGACUGAGCAGGACAGGCAAGCGAGGACGCUGUAGAGGACAGAAAAAGCAAGCUUCCCCUCGAAAGGGUUGCCUAACCUGGCACCGACCUGCGUUUUCCACCAAGUCACCUCCAUUGCCAGGAAUGCCAGAAGCCCGUGGCGGGACCAGACGAAAGGAGGAGUCUCCCCGGGGAGAACAUUCUAGGCCCGCCAAAUUAAAAAUGAGUGAGAAGGAGAAGGAAGAGACUCUAGCACCCAACUCGUGCCAGAGGGACUUGCCUGGGAUGUUCUCUGUGCUCCUCCCCUACCCGCUGCCUGGGCAGUUCUUGCGGGGCUACUACCCCGGCGCUAGAACCAGGGAGAAGUUUCGCCGCUGCAAACGUGAGAAAAUGCAGCUCCGCAGGACACCGCCCCCACACGCCCCACCCCACAGCCCGACCCCUGGCGGUGGCGACCUUGGUCACCCCGAAGGACCCAGUGCUCGGAGGAGGGGCUGCUCUCGGGGUUUUCCUGGGAGCUAGGGAGGUCGCCAGCUUAGGGCCACCUCCGGUCGCCUUGCACCACCCGGACUGGCGCCACCAAGCCCGCAAACCCCACUCCUCUCGGCCAGUGCCCCGGCCCUUGCGCCUCUCCACACGACUCACCGCGCUGUGCGCAGCAAGGGUCGCAUCGGGUCCCAGGGCUCUGCGCCUCGGGGCUGCGGCUCCCCGCCCGUCCUGCCGCUCUCUUCUUCCCCCACCCUCUGCUGUCUUCCACGCCGUCUCGAAUCUUUUUUCCGGGUUAAUUACGUUUCGCAUUAAAGCAAAACCCAGCCCCGGAUGCACCACCGUGUCUCACUGAAUCCUGAGUUUGCUGAUUCAGCUAGUCUAAAUAAAGAAGCUUGCCUGGAAUCCCUCAUCUCUGCUCCCGAGUGGUGGUUCAUUAUUAGGGCACAGUGCCUACCCAGCUCUUCUGUGAGUCCCGGAGAUCCAAACUCCAGUCCUCAUGCUUAGGCAGCAAACGCUUGCCUUCACUGAGCUCACUCUCUAGCCCAUGCUUAUUUUAUUUUUUGCAGAAAUGCAUGUGUGUAUCUAGUUAUCAAAAGAACAACAGUUAAGUUUUAAUAAAGGUUGGGACUGGAGACGUG